UACAGAGGGUGCGAGCGUUGUCCGGAAUCACUGGGCGUAAAGGGCGCGUAGGUGGCGCCGCAAGUCGGUGGUGAAAGCUCGAUGCUCAACAUCGAGUCGGCCAUCGAAACUGCGGGGCUGGAGCACUGUAGGGGCAGAUGGAAUUCCGGGUGUAGCGGUGGAAUGCGCAGAUAUCAGGAGGAACACCGGUGGCGAAGGCGGGAUCCUGGGCCAGUACUGACGCUGAGGAGCGAAAGCGUGGGGAGCAAACAGG
rnacentral:rRNA from 1 species